rnacentral:rRNA from 1 species
GAUGAACGCUGACAGAAUGCUUAACACAUGCAAGUCUACUUGAAUUUGGGUUUUUUAACUUAGAUUUGGGUGGCGGACGGGUGAGUAACGCGUAAAGAACUUGCCUCACAGUUAGGGACAACAUUUGGAAACGAAUGCUAAUACCUGAUAUUAUGAAUAUAUGGCAUCAUAUAAUUAUGAAAGCUAUAAGCGCUGUGAGAGAGCUUUGCGUCCCAUUAGCUAGUUGGCGAGGUAACGGCUCACCAAGGCGAUGAUGGGUAGCCGGCCUGAGAGGGUGAACGGCCACAAGGGGACUGAGACACGGCCCUUACUCAUACGGGAGGCAGCAGUGGGGAAUAUUGGACAAUGGACCAAGAGUCUGAUCCAGCAAUUCUGUGUGCACGAUGACGUUUUUCGGAAUGUAAAGUGCUUUCAGUUGGGAAGAAAAAAAUGACGGUACCAACAGAAGAAGUGACGGCUAAAUACGUG